CUCCCUACUAGAGAACUUUGCCCGCAGCUCGUAGACAGCUUAGACGGGACAACGACCAGGGACAGUGAGCAGACAGGAGCCCUAGGGCUUACUCUUUAGGAAUACCAGUCAGCUGGUGGCUGCCGCUGCUACAACCGACCCAGCCACAGCUGAAAUACCCUCAACCUGGGCAGUGACUACUGUGCUCUACACAGUCAGCGGCUGAAGGGCAGUCACGGGCCAGCCAUUGAAAAUGCUCACGGUACACAUCCCUGCUGACCUUCCCCAAGACCAUGGAGAGGCAGCUGAGUCCUUAGUUUGAGGAAGACAGGAUAACAGCCUGUUCCCGCUGGGAGAGCUGCUAGAGGCCAGUGAGAUGGAGAGAGAGGCUUGCAGAGGUCACUGAUCAAUGGAUCACAGACUCUCAAGCUCAGCAGUGGUGGCCCAGGACUUUAAUAAUUCUAGGACUCAGAAGGCAGAGGGGGCAGAGUUCGAGACCAACCUGGUGGUCUACAGAGCAACGGGACAGCUGGGAGUAUGCAGUGAAACCCUACCUCGAAAAGACAAACAAACAAAAUAUCAUAGAUUCUCCAUCUAUGACACCGCUUGACACCAUCGGGGGUCCAUCCGCCUCCGUGCCAGGCAGCGGAACCCGAGGCACAGAGGAAUGACGCCAAGCCGGAAAAGCUGCGCGCCAGUGGUCCACCCGGAAGUGCGCCCCCCCAUCAGGUCCUCCAGAGCCCCCAGCGUCGGCCCGCCACGCACCCACCUGUCCUAGGGUGGCUGAAGCCAUGAUCCGGUGUGUGCGGCUGGUAACUGUGCCCGCCUGGGGCGCGGCCUGGUGAAAGGCAUUCGGGCCCCGCCCUGCUCACGCCCCCUCCCGCAGAUGGCUGCUGUGUGGAGCCUCACUUCUGCCAGGCCGUCCUUAGUUCUGGGACCACAGGGACCCAGGCUCUGCUGUGAAGAUCCUGCGCGGGAACGGUCCCGACGUGCCGCACUCUCUCCCUCCUCGCCUCCAACCUACCCUGCUCUACCCCAACCACACUCACGCCCAGCUAGGCAUUUACCUAGGCUUUUGUUUGGCAUCUGAGUAUUGUACCCUUGGCCUCGUGAAUGUUUGGGAAGCGCUCUAACCCCUGGGAACAGA